rnacentral:rRNA from 1 species
AUGAUCGGAUGGGGCGACGUGUACAAGGUGGUGGCCGCCAUGGCGCCGCUCUACUUCGCCCUGGGCCUCGGCUACGGCUCGGUGCGGUGGUGGAAGCUCUUCACGCCGGACCAGUGCGACGCCGUGAACCGCCUCGUGGCCUACUUCGCGGUGCCCUUCUUCGCCUUCGACUUCGCCGCGCGCAUGGACCCCUACGCGCUCAACUACCGCGUCCUCGCCGCCGACGCGCUCUCCAAGCUCGCCGUCGCGCUGGCGCUCGCCGCCUGGGCCGCCGCGUCCACGCGCUGCUGCCGCGCCGGCGCCAAGCGCGGCGGGGAGCUGGCCUCCUCGUGGUGCAUCACCGGCUUCUCGCUGGCGACGCUGAACAACACGCUCGUGGUGGGCGUGCCGCUGCUGGACGCCAUGUACGGCGGGUGGGCGCGAGACCUCGUCGUGCAGAUAUCGGUGGUGCAGAUCAUCGUCUACUUUCCGCUGCUGCUGCUGGCGUUCGAGGCGAGGCGUGCGUGCGGUGGUGGCGCAGGGAAGCCUGACGCGGCGGUGGCGGUUUCAGCGAGCGACGACGACGUGGAGGACGGCGGCGCGGAGGGGAGGAGGCGGCGCGAGCCGGUAUGGCCGUUGGUGAGAGCGGUCUGGCUCAAGGUGGCACGGAAUCCCAACGUUUACGCGGGCGUCCUCGGGGUCGCCUGGUCUUGCGUCACAAACAGGUGGCACAUCGUGACGCCGAGCAUCAUCGAAGGCUCGGUGCUGAUCAUGUCCAGGACCGGCGUCGGGCUCGCCAUGUUCAGCAUGGGCCUGUUCAUGGCGCUGCAGGAGAAGAUCAUCGUCUGCGGGGCCGGCCUGACCGCGCUGGGCAUGGCGCUGCGGUUCGUCGCCGGCCCGGCAGCCACCGCCGCCGGAGCCGUCGCCCUGGGGCUCCGCGGUGACGUCCUGCGCCUCGCCAUCAUACAGGCUGCGCUCCCCCAGUCCAUCACCACGUUUGUGUUCGCCAAGGAGUACGGCCUGCACGCCGAUGUGCUCAGCACCGCGGUUAUAUUCGGGACGCUGGCGUCGUUGCCCGUGUUGAUCGUGUACUACAUCGUUCUAGGCUUCGUUGGAUAG